GAAAUGCGAUAAGUAAUGUGAAUUGCAGAAUUCAGUGAAUCAUCGAAUCUUUGAACGCACCUUGCGCUCCUUGGUAUUCCUUGGAGCAUGCCUGUUUGAGUAUCAUGAAAUCUUCAAAGUAAAUCUUUUGUUAACUCAAUUGGUUUCUACUUUGGUAUUGGAGGUCUUUGCAGCUUCACACCUGCUCCUCUUUCUUCAUUAGCUGGAUCUCAGUGUUAUGCUUGGUUCCACUCGGCGUGAUAAGUUAUCUAUCGCUGAGGACACUGUAAAAGGUGGCCAAGGUAAAUGCAGAUGAACCGCUUCUAAUAGUCCAUUGACUUGGACAAUACUUUUAUGAUCUGAUCUCAAAUCAGGUAGGACUACCCGCUGAACUUAAGC
rnacentral:misc_RNA from 1 species